rnacentral:rRNA from 1 species
GAUGAACGCUAGCUACAGGCUUAACACAUGCAAGUCGAGGGGAAACGAUAUUGGAAGCUUGCUUCCGAUAGGCGUCGACCGGCGCACGGGUGAGUAACGCGUAUCCAACCUGCCCAUCACUUGGGGAUAACCUUGCGAAAGUAAGACUAAUACCCAAUGACGUCUCUAGAAGACAUCUAAAAGAGAUUAAAGAUUUAUCGGUGAUGGAUGGGUAUGCGUCUGAUUAGCUUGUUGGCGGGGUAACGGCCCACCAAGUCGACGAUCAGUAGGGGUUCUGAGAGGAAGGUCCCCCACAUUGGAACCGAGACACGGUCCAAACUCCUACGGGAGGCAGCAGUGAGGAAUAUUGGUCAAUGGGCGAGAGCCUGAACCAGCCAAGUAGCGUGCAGGAUGACGGCCCUAUGGGUUGUAAACUGCUUUUAUAAGGGAAUAAAGUGAGAGUCGUGACUCUUUUUGCAUGUACCUUAUGAAUAAGGACCGGCUAAUUCCGUGCCAGCAGCCGCCGUAA